rnacentral:rRNA from 1 species
UGCCAGCAGCCGCGGUAAUACGGGGGGGGCGAGCGUUGUUCGGAAUUACUGGGCGUAAAGGGUAUGUAGGUGGCCUAUCAAGUCAGACGUGAAAUCCCUCGGCUCAACCGAGGAACUGCGUCUGAAACUGGUGGGCUUGAGUGCAGGAGAGGAACGCGGAAUUCCAGGUGUAGCGGUGAAAUGCGUAGAUAUCUGGAGGAACACCGGUGGCGAAGGCGGCGUUCUGGACUGCUACUGACACUGAGGUACGAAAGCUAGGGGAGCGAACGGGAUUAGAUA